ACCAGAAUGACCCAAAGUCAUUGUGGUGGCUGAGGGCUCCCAUGGAGAGACCUGCUCUGUGCUGGGGCUCAGUCCAGACUAUGUGGUGGAAUCCUGCAAUGCUUAUGGAGCAAAUGCCACCUUCCCAAGACUAGAGAAGAGACAGUAAUGAAGAUCAUCUUCCAUCCAGCGUUCAACACCUACAAGAUGGACAUCGAGCCCUGCAUGAGGAAAGCUGUGAUGUCUCCAGUGCAGCGCAGCAGGAGGCUGUUUGAGAUCGUGCUGUCCCACAGGUGGGCCACGGCGGCCUACAGCCAGGGUGAGGGCAGGGUGGUCACCAUGGAGGGUGAAGUGGCUCGAGUGCUCAGCUUUGACACAGCUGAAGAAAUGGAGGCUGAAGUUCUGAUUUUUGCCCAAGCACCUGCUGGAAAUAGGAGGUCAAAUGAGGGUUCAAGUGCAGCUCCGUCAGACCCUGGGGCCCAAGUCGCCCUCACGGCCCUUGUCGUCUCCUCCAUCACGUACAUACACACACACACACACGGUGCUGAGGAACAGACCUGCUGCAUCUCUCUCUGUACUUUUUUGUAAGAAUUUGAUCAUGGUUCAAAGUACAUAGCCCAGGAGAAAAAUGGGAUGGCAGGGGAAUGGCUUUUUGCAUGUGAUCCAUUUUAUUUUUGCUAAGUCAACAAAACAUACUGUAUUUGCCUAGGGGAGCUAAGUCAGGCUAUUUAAAUUUCCCUGUCACUACAAAUAUUCUCUUGAUUUAUGAAAAAAUA
ensembl:lincRNA